CACCUAUACAUGAGAACAUACAAUAUUUGGUUUUCCAUUCCAUCUCAGAGGCCUUCAAGCCCCCAGGCCUGGUUCCUACUCUAUCAACUGCUCUCUGUCUCCAAAAGACUGUCCUUGCUAAUGUCACCAAGGACCUCUAUGAGCCAAAUUUAGGACUUUUCAGCCUUCAUUUGACUCCCAGUCCCUUCAAUAUUGAAGGCUGUUGACUACCCCUUCAUUUGGAAUCUCUCUGUCCCUUCUUUCAUGUCCUCACACUCUCUCUGACUAGUCCUCCCUCAAGCUUCUCACAAGGAAUGGCUUCCCUUUUCUUCAUACUGCACACUACUGCAGGGUAAGUUAAUCUAGCUCUUUGCAGGGAGCUGUGGACAGAGCUUGGACACACAGGCUGGGGCGUCUACACGUGCAUGCAAGCUCUCAACACACAGGAAGGAACUGGAGGUGGGAAAAUAACUCUCAGGCUGGUCAUGAUCUCUCAAACCAGAAUUCCCUUCAUGCCAGCUGCCUAUGGAGCCUCUAGUCAGUCAUUGUGAUGGUCAUGAGUGACCUCACUGAGUGCUGACUGUGAGCCAGGCUGAGUGAUGCACUUUACGUGGAUUAUCACCCUCUGUGGAGUCCCACACUCCUGUGACUCAGGUGUUGUUACUUCCCUUCAAGGCAUCAAGAAGUUAAGGGACUACCCAAGGCCACUGUAGCUAGUAAGUGGGGAAGGUGGGAUUCACACCCAGGGGUCUUGCUCCAGAGCCUGGGCCUAAAACCACUCAAUAUCUUCAAACAAACCUCCUGCUCCUCUGUCAGCCCUUUGUAUAUCAGAGGUGCCAUUAUUCAUGCCCUCAGAAAAGCCAGGGUCCUGGGAGGAGGGGUCCUCACCUCUCAGACAGGGUCAUCACCUCUUACCUCUUUCUCCGACCCACAUUCAGCCAUCACUAAACCAGGCAAACCCCCAUAUCAGUAACUUUCAAAUCCAUUCCUGUUAGGGAAUGAAUGUUUGUUUCCCCCCUCCAUUCCUGUGUUGAAGCUCUAACACUCACUGUGAUGGUAUUUGGUGAUGGGGCCUUUGGAAGGUGAUUAGGUUUAGAUGAGGUCAUGAAGGUGGGGUCCUCACAAUGGGAUUAGUGCCCUUAUAAGAAGAGACUCCAGGGCUUCCUCUCUACCACAUGAGGACAGAGUGAGAAGAUGGCUGUCUGCAACUGCCCUAAGGGCCAUCACAAGAACUCAACCGUGCAGGUCUUGAUCUCAGACUUCCAGCCUCCAGAACUGGGAAACGCCAUGUGAAGAUUAUGGAUUUCUGCUGCCACAAGCCAAGUAACUACCAGAAGCCAGGAGAGAGGGCUGGAGCAAGGGAGCCUGGCCCUGACGACACCUUGAUCUCAGACUUCGGGCCUCCAUAAUUGUGGCUUCCUCAAUCCUGUACAUGAAUUGGUGGCAGUGGGAUGAACUAAGCGACCUCCGGCCUUCCCUCCUACUAAGUAAGUUCAGGUUCGAAGAUGCUCCAUCCCUGCCAUUUCUGAACUCCUCUGGGUCUGGUUUUUAGGAAAAGGCACAGGAUUUGCCCCCACAACCCCUGGGACAGUGGGAGAGAGUUGGGAGAAAAUCUCUGCAGCUCUUCCUUGAGAUGAGGGAUGGACAGCGAGCAGGCUCUCUAUCCCCCAAAGCCACAUAUCCUCCAAGUCUCACUCUGGACUGGGUUCACAUCACUCUACAGAGGAUUUAUUGAGCAUCUCCUGAAUGUAAGGGCAUGUGUCAGAUGAGAGUGAGGGCCAGGAUGCAUAGAAAUAAAUGGAACCAUAGCCUCAGGGAGUUGGGUGUGGGUGCCAGGGGCAGAAAGCUGGCCCUAGACACUGAAGGUGAAAGCUUUCAAAUCACACCAGAUAUUCUAUUUCUUAGCUAGAAUGACUUUAUAAGGUGUUUAUUAUUUGGUUACUCCAUGGUACUGUUCAUAUAAGAGAAGUGGCAUAAAUGCUUGAUUCUUUCCCUUUAAUUACCAGGAUCUAAGACAACGCAUUGCUUCUCUGUCACCCUCCAAAAAAGACAAAUUGGUUUGUGGGUUUUAUUUUUUUAGUAUUAUUAUUAACUCAUGGGUUAAGCAUUUGAUAGAUUUCAGUCCAUUAUAAUUAUUACCCUCAUUGAAGCUCACAUUGUCCCAUUUUGGCUACUGGGAGCCUCUUCAAGUUGACUCCUGGGUCCUUUUGACAUAACCUUUGUGGCUUAAGAAGUUCCUCUCUGUCUGGUAUGAUAAGAUAUUCCAGAUUCCUCUCACAAUAUUUCUCUAAAAGCCUGGUUUAUUUUUCAUAGGAAAGGGUAUUUCAGUGCUAUAAUCUUGGUCCUAGGAAUGCUCACCGCAUUUGGGUGGUCAUUAUGCCCAGAUGUUUUUGGUCAACAGAACUAGAAAAUAGAAAUAAAAUAUGUAAAUAUUUUAAGAUAAAAUACCUCAACAGUUCAUACGGGGUUUUCCAAUUCAAAUUCAAUAUUAGAAUUUGGGGUUUUGUUGUUUUUUGAGACAGAAUCUCACCCUGUCACCCAACCUGGAAUGCACUGGCAUGAACA
rnacentral:lncRNA from 1 species